UACGUAGGGGGCGAGCGUUGUCCGGAAUCAUUGGGCGUAAAGAGCGUGUAGGCGGCUAUUUAAGUCCUGCGUGAAAUCCUGCGGCUCAACCGCAGACGGUCGUGGGAAACUGGAUGGCUAGAGUGCGGGAGAGGAGAGUGGAAUUCCCGGUGUAGCGGUGAAAUGCGCAGAUAUCGGGAAGAACACCCGUGGCGAAGGCGGCUCUCUGGAACGCAACUGACGCUGAGACGCGAAAGCGUGGGGAGCAAACAGG
rnacentral:rRNA from 1 species